ACUAUUAUUAUUUCCAUUUUACAGAGAAGGAAACUGACUUGCCCAAGUUCUCCACAGAAGCUUAUUUCAUCCAUCUCUGAGCUGAAUAUGGACACACCCUGUGCCCCCUGCCCGGGGACAUGCCCACGAUGGCCAGGCCCUGUCCACAGACCUGGGUGUCUACACAUGUGAGGCCAGCAACCGGCUUGGCACGGCAGUCAGCAGAGGCGCUCGGCUGUCUGUGGCUGUCCUCCGGGAGGAUUUCCAGAUCCAGCCUCGGGACAUGGUGGCUGUGGUGGGUGAGCAGUUUACUCUGGAAUGUGGGCCGCCCUGGGGCCACCCAGAGCCCACAGUCUCAUGGUGGAAAGAUGGGAAACCCCUGGUCCUCCAGCCCGGAAGGCACACAGUGUCCGGGGGGUCCCUGCUGAUGGCAAGAGCAGAGAAGAGUGAUGAAGGGACCUACAUGUGUGUGGCCACCAACAGCGCAGGACACAGGGAGAGCCGCGCAGCCCGGGUUUCCAUCCAGGAGCCCCAGGACUACACGGAGCCUGUGGAGCUUCUGGCUGUGCGAAUUCAGCU
rnacentral:sRNA from 1 species